UGUUAAAAAUUUCAUCAAUUUUUAAUAUUAAAAACUAGUAUGAGUAACGAAAUAGCUAGACAAUUACACGUGGCGUGCUACAUGUACCUCACAUUAGCAUACAAAAGCUAAGUUUUAACAGUAUAAAAGCUAAUUUUUAACAGUAUAAAUGGAUAAAUUUUUUUAGCA
rfam:Gossypium raimondii Chr05_contig_1344, whole genome shotgun sequence.